UCCCCUAAAUGAUGAGUCAGACCCACAAGAAAUUUUUGUAAAUACUUGCAAGUUAUUGCCACCCAACAAAACGGUGCUAUAUGUGGGAUCUCAGAAAAUUAAUGGAGCUAGUGAUCUGUUCUAUGUUCCAGUGACCAUUGGCAGCCAGUCUAUACUGAAUGGUUUGCUUGAUUCAGGUAGUAUGGCUUGCACCCUGAGUAUGGAAGGGGAAUCAAGGUUGCGUGCCGAUGGAGUUCUCCCACAACCUUCAGCUGUUCCUGGUAACGUGGUCCUCGUUGGCUGUGGUGGUCUUACUAUUCAGCCUAAGUGCACAUAUGACCUGGAAGUAGAAGUUUAUGGAUUUAAGUUCAUCGUACCUACUUUAUUAGUUCCUGGACAGAAGGACGAGUUCAUUAUUGGCAGUAACGUCAUCAAAUUCGUGCUUCAGAAGAUGAAAGCCGAAAAGAAGUACUGGGAACUAAUUUCCUGUCAAAACAGCAACCCAGAAUGUGAAGAGUUUCUCGAGCUUUUGAGCUGUGUUUCCCGUUGUUCUGGUUCCACUCAACCUGAUAAACUUGGCUCAGUGAGGCUUUGUCAGGCAGUCACUUUACUCCCCAGAAGUGAGCACCUUGUGUGGGGAAAAUUACCUGCUAACACUCUUAUUUCCCCAGGCAGCACAGUCAUUGUUGAACCCACUACUUCACGUUCAGCACCCCGUCAUGUUCUUGUUGGACGUGUUGUGUCUCCUAUGUGGGGUGAUCGAUGGGUACCGAUGAAGAUUCUGAAUCCUACCCCGUCUCCGAUAACUCUUCGACGUAACACCAAGCUGGCAGAUGUGUCCCCUUGUCUGGCAGUGGAAGAUGUUUCUCUCACGCAAGGCGUGUGCAAACCUCAUGAUGUCACUGAUUCUGCUCUCCCCAAGCCCGUUCUAUCCGUUGACCCUGUGCAGCUGCUGCACGAGUAUGGUUUAGAGGACAUUGAUAUUGAUGGGUGUGAAGUCACCGAGUCAUGGAAGGAUGAGUUGGCGACUCUAAUAGUGUCUUAUCAUGAUGUUUUCUCCAGAGACCGACUUGAUUGUGGGGAGGUGAAAGACUUUGUACACCGAAUUCAUCUGUGUGAUGAGCGCCCGUUCCGCCUGCCUUAUCGCCGAAUCCCUCCGGCCCACUACCAGAAGUUGAGAGAAGUUCUUUCUGAAAUGGAAGAGAAAUGCAUUAUUAGUAAAUCUGUCAGCGAAUAUGCAUCUCCUUUGGUAAUGGUUUGGAAGAAGGAUGGAUCUAUGAGAGUCUGUAC
ensembl:lncRNA